rnacentral:lncRNA from 1 species
AUUGGUCCAGGAAACAAUUCCGGAGUUUGGCCCAACCCAAUGUAAGCCAAUGACUUGAUCUUUCCAUAAUUCCGACAUGUUGAUCAUUAACAUUGGAAAAUUCUUCCAUUGGACUCCCCUACAAUGGCUGAAAACCACCACCACCACCACCAACACCACCGGCCCCAUCGUCUCUCACUCCCAUCACGCACCACAAUUUCCACCACCACUGCCACUCCUACUACGACAAGAACCCCCUACCCUCUUUUCAACAACUACCCACCUUCAACUCCAACUCCAACUCCAUCUAAACACCGAAUUCCCUCCUAUUUUCCCACUCCCAAAUCUUCAACAUAUAUCCCACUCCUACUACGACAAGAACCCCCUACCCUCUUUUCAACAACUACCCACCUUCAACUCCAACUCCAACUCCAUCUAAACACCGAAUUCCCUCCUAUUUUCCCACUCCCAAAUCUUCAACAAAAACCUCAUCUUUACCAUUUCUCUUCCUCCUCCUCUUCUCUCUCCGCUCUCUUUACUCUCUCCUCCCGUUCCUCCGUUCUUCCCCUUCCUCUUUCUCUCUCUUCCCUUUCUCUUUCCUCGUUUCCCUCCUCUCUUUUAUCCUCACUUUCUCUUUCUCCAUCUUCACGUCGAAACACCCUUUUCAUCACAAAAAUCGCCACCGGCUCGUUUUCUUCUCCUUCACCAAAUCUCAAUAUAAGCUUCUACUGCAAAAAUCCCUUCUUCUUGCUAUAGUUUUUCUGCUGAGAUUUCAAGCUCUGAGAUACUGUGGCACUGCUGCAAUGAUUCUUGCUGAAGUUUCCGGAGAUACAGCUGCCCGCUUCAUUUCUGAUGGAAAGAGACUCGAUCUUUUUGACAAGAAUCAGAUUAGAUCGUCCAAGGUUUGUGGGUUUAUUGCUAUGUUUAUUGGGUUGUUUCUGCUAUCUGUUAGUUGGGAUAGAAUCGAAUGUUUCCCUUUAUCUUCUGUGAAUGUAACUGAAAUGGGGUUUUCGAUUCUGCCGAGGUAUAGUUGUAUAAGGAUUUGGCCUAUGUUGCUUCCUUUUGCUUGCGGGUUUUUGGGGUGUUAUGAGAGGUGUUUUAUGAAUUUAGGUAGUCUAAGGGAAAUGGGUAGGAAGCAUGUUAGAUUGUUAUAUGUUACGAGAGGAGUUUUAUGAAUUUGGGUAGUUUAAG